AGGACGAACGCUGGCGGCGUGCUUAACACAUGCAAGUCGAGCGGUAAAGCCUUUCGGGGUACACGAGCGGCGAACGGGUGAGUAACACGUGGGUGAUCUGCCCUGCACUUCGGGAUAAGCCUGGGAAACUGGGUCUAAUACCGGAUAUGACCUCCUAUCGCAUGGUGGGUGGUGGAAAGAUUUAUCGGUGCAGGAUGGGCCCGCGGCCUAUCAGCUUGUUGGUGGGGUAAUGGCCUACCAAGGCGACGACGGGUA
rnacentral:rRNA from 1 species